rnacentral:piRNA from 1 species
UAUCAUAGGACUCACUUCGCCUCACAGGGUU